ensembl:lncRNA
AUGUCCGGGUCAUCUGGGAAUCAGUCACCUCCAGGGGUGAGAGCAGGAGAGCGGGGCGCAGGUUGGGGUGAACACGGACCGGCGCCUCGGAGCCUGUGCGGAGGAAGAGCCCGGACAGCCGGUCCUCCAGCCUCAGCCUCCCGCCGGGCACAUGACCAGUUAAGCGCCUCCUGCUCUGCCAGCCCCUGUCCACUGCGAGAAGAUGCUCCUUCUGCUGGAAGGGAUGGAGCCCAGCAGGAAGGCACCUGGCGGGGAGCCGCAAGGAGCCCGGACAGGUCACAUCCAUCCCGGUCAAGGCUGCGGCCCCCCGGCCCCCAGGGACACGCGCCGAGGCUCCCCGCGGCCGGCGCUGCUCACCCGCAGGGUCUGAAGGGCCAGGGCAGGAAGCGGGGUUGCAACAGCAGCCCAGGGCCUGGCUGGAGGGGCUGGGGUGGCCCUGCCCUCGCCUCCACCCCGUUGGAUCGCUCCCUUCCCACGGGGCGUCUCACCCGUGUCCGCCAGGCGGCCCGUGGGGAGCGCGGUGCUGCGCAGUCUCAGGGAGGGGAGGGCGUGGGAGGAGGACAGCUCCCGGCCCAGUGUCCUCCUCCAACUUGGAAAACGGGAACCUGCUGAUGUCCAUACUCUGCAAUCCACUCAGCUUCCGGUAGGCAUCUCUUAAUCACUUAAUUGAAAUAGUUGAUCUGCAGUGUUGUGCUAGUUUCUGGUGUACAGCAAAGUGAUAAACACAUAUAUAUACAUGCACACACAGAUUCAGUAUCUUGUGAUCACCUGUAAUGGAAAAGAAUCUGAUGCCUUAAAGGUUAUUAUAAGAUACUGUGUGUGUAUAUAUAUUCUUUUUUCUGAUUCUUUUCCAUUAUGGGUGAUGACAAGAUAUUGAAUACAGCUCCAGGUGCUGUACUGUAGGCUCUUGUUGGUUAUCUUUUUUAUGUACAGUAGUUUACUAAUCUCAAACUCCUAAUUCAUCCCUUCCUUCCCCCUUUGGAGACCAUAGGUCUGUUUUUCUGUGACUGUUAGUUCGUCAUAUUUUAGAUUCUACAUAUAAGUGAUGUCAUGUCUUUCACUUAGUAUGAGAAUCUCUAGGUCCAUCCACGUUGCUGCACAUGGCAUGAUUUCAUUCCUUUUUUAUGGCUUAGUAUUCCAUUGUGUACAUGUGCCACAGCUUCCACAUGCAUUCCUCUGUCAAUAGACAUUCAGGUUGUUGCCAGGUCUUGGCUGUAGUGACUAGUGCUGCUGUGAACACUGGGGUGCAUGUAUUUUUUGAAUGGUCGUUUUUUCUGGGUAUAUGCCCAGGAGUGGGAUUGCUGGAUCAUAUGGCAACUCUGUUUAGCUUUUCGAGAAACCUCCACAGUGUUCUCCAUAGUGGUUGUACCAAUUUACAUCCCAACAGGGUGGGGGAGGCCCCCUUUUCUCCACACCCUCUCCAGCAUUUGUUAUAGCUUAAUGAUGGCUAUUCUGACAGGUGGAAGGGGGUACCUUAUUGCUGUUUGGAUUUGCAUUUCUCUGAUAAUCAGGGAUGUUGAGCAUCUUUUUGUGUGCCUGUUGGCCAUCUGUACGUUUCUGGAGAAAUGUCUGCUUAGGUCUUUGGCCCGUUUUUUGAUUGGGUUGUUUGGAA